AGGUUCUUGUGGUUCCACUUGAGUUAAAAGAAGGAAGAGGAGGGUGUAAAACCAGAACAGCUCUGGAGAACACAGGGACAAACCACUAAAGACUGAUCAUCUGAGGAACAAGAUUUCAAAAUGAAAGCUGCCGUGUGUGCCGUCCUCCUCUUGCUGACUCUAUAUCAAGCUGAGGCCCUGAGGUGUAAAACAUGUGGCUCCGACGAUGGAGGUGAACUCUGCGACUGGGGACUCAGUGUGACCUGUUCACGUAUACAACCCAUGUGUGUUCGCGCCUUAUUCACUAGGAGAGGCUCAUCAAUACGCUCGUGCGCGACCGUGGAAAUGUGUGAGGGUUUCAAAAGAAAACAGGACGUGGACUACAAUUGCUGCAGCAACGACAACUGCAACUGAGCCCCUUCACCUCAGCGUGGGCCCAUUGUGAUAUGUUGGAUGAUCCAUUUCUACUGUUUCAGAUCAAAAAGCAGGCGUUUGUCCACAAUGUCAGGUCAAAUUUAAACCGUUGAGGAUCUGUACUGCUGUACGACACUAGGUGGCAGUAGAGCGCUGUGAAGAUGGGUGAACAUCCACUUGGGCCACCACUGCCAGUGUGUAUGUGUGGGAGUGUUUUUUUUAAGUGAAUUAUUAAAAAAGACAAAGCAAUGAAACUAA